AAGGGGGUUUGAUCAUGGCUCAGAAUGAACGCUGGCGGCGUGCUCUACACAUGCAAGUCGAGCGAGGCAUAUGGAGCUUGCUCCGUAUAGUCGAGCGGCGAACGGGUGAGUAACGCGUGGAUAUCUACCCUGAGGUGGGGGAUAACCCGGGGAAACUCGGGCUAAUACCGCAUGAUACCGCGAGGUCAAAGAGGGCUUCGGCUCUCGCCAUGGGAUGAGUCUGCGUCCGAUUAGCUAGUUGGUGAGGUAAAGGCUUCACCAAGGCGACGAUCGGUAGCCGGCCUGAGAGGGCGAUCGGCCACACUGGAACUGAGACACGGUCCAGACUCCUACGGGAGGCAGCAGUGGGGAAUUUUGCGCAAUGGGGGAAACCCUGACGCAGCAACGCCGCGUGGAGGAUGAAGGUUUUCGGAUUGUAAACUCCUGUCAGUGGGGAAAAAGGCUUGCGACCUAAUACGUCGAGGAGCUUGAUUGUACCCGCAGAGGAAGCCCCGGCUAACUCUGUGCCAGCAGCCGCGGUAAUACAGAGGGGGCAAGCGUUAUUCGGAAUUAUUGGGCGUAAAGGGCGCGUAGGCGGCCGAUCAAGUGGUAGGUGAAAUCCCUCGGCUCAACCGAGGAACUGCCUACCAAACUGACUGGCUUGAGUCCGGGAAGAGGUGAGUGGAAUUCCCAGUGUAGCGGUGGAAAUGCGUAGAUAUUGGGAGGAACACGGUGGCGAAGGCGCUCACUGGAACGGAACUGACGCUGAGGCGCGAANCCUGGGGA
rnacentral:rRNA from 1 species